rnacentral:rRNA from 1 species
GACGAACGCUGGCGGCGUGCCUAACACAUGCAAGUCGAACGGAGAUAUGAUUACGGUUGUAUCUUAGUGGCGAACGGGUGAGUAACGCGUGAGCAACCUGACUCUUAGAGGGGGAUAACACUCGGAAACGGGUGCUAAUACCGCAUAAGACCACGACAUGGCAUCAUGACGAGGUCAAAGGAGCAAUCCGCUGAGAGAGGGGCUCGCGUCCCAUGAGAUAGAUGGCGGGGUAACGGACCACCAUGUCGACGAUGGGUAGCCGAGCUGAGAGGCUGAUCGGCCACACUGGAACUGGGACACGGUCCAGACUCCUACGGGAGGCAGCAGUGGGGAAUAUUGGGCAAUGGGCGCAAGCCUGACCCAGCAACGCCGCGUGAGGGAAGAAGGCUUUCGGGUUGUAAACCUCUGUCCUUGGUGACGAAAAAAAUGACGGUAGCCAAGGAGGAAGCCCCGGCUAACUACGUGCCAGCAGCCGCCGCAG